rnacentral:lncRNA from 1 species
GUUGGUCACUCAAUCCCCAAGUCUGUAGUGCAGUAAAAAGUUUGUUUUGAGAUACUGUUUUCAUUUUUCUACCUGACAGUUUGAAACAGCAUAUACAGGUGGUUACUGUUUGUCUCAGUCUUAGAGUUCUUUCUCAGGGAAAGCAGGUUGUUUUUCACAGUCCUAGAGCUCUUUCUCAAGGAAAACAAGUUGCUUUUCACCAUUGCAGGACUCUGUUCUUGUGAAGAGCUGUUUGCUUUCUCAUGGCUUAUGUCAAGUUAGAAUUUUGUCUGUGAGGCUUCUACGGCCUGUUGUUUCACCACCAUAGGGGACCCCAGAGCUGGAGGCAGAUCUGAAGGUGGGGUCUCACCUGAGUGGAGCAGAGGGGCAGGAUCCACCCCACCUCCUACAACCCCCCUCCUCGACUUCCCAAGAUGUGAGACCAAUUCAGGAUGUUUGAAUUAAUUUCUCUUAUAUAUUUUUUUCUGAGGAUAAGUUUUGGUUCUGUUGGAAUCCAAACCGGAAAGUCAAAGUGAGGAAUAUGGACAUGGGGUGAAAUCAUGUGCCUUGCAACAAAUUAUUUAGCAGUGAUAAGCUCCAGGUUUUUUUUCAGGAUAGGAGUGAUUAAAAGGAUAUGCAAAGGAUGACAAGGAUUGGCCCAUGAUGCUUCCAGAGGUGGUGCCACAGCCAGAAGAGCACAUCUGAUUUCUCAGGCUAGGGAAGUGCUAUUAUGCUUGCUUGCCAGAUGAGAACACGUAUCCAGGUUUUGUGCUGCAUUGCUUCAAUGAAGUGUGCUUUCUCCUUCUCUUCCACCCCUUCCGUUCCAGGCAAAGGGGAGAGAUAAGCAGCUUUUACAGGCAGAGCUGCAUGAGUGCCAUGGGUGACCUACUGACCAUCAAAGAGAAGCAGCAACACCCAUGGAAGAAAAGCUCACUUGAUGGAUUCUUAAAUAUAAAGAAGGGA